UUGCCUUGGAAUCCCUAAUUCAUAUGGGUAUCUUGUGUGACUUCCUCAACAAGUUUCUUCAAAAAUUGAUCAAAUAUUUCAAGAGAUACUUCAUUAUAAAUCAUCUCAAUCAUAUAUGAUCCUUCAUGAGUCCCAAAGAUCAAGAGAACUUCAAGUUUGCAAGUUGGUUUGAAGUGGUUGACCAAAGAAAGUCAAUUGGUC
rnacentral:lncRNA from 1 species